ACAGGGAUUGCCCUAGUAACGGCGAGUGAAGCGGCAACAGCUCAAAUUUGAAAUCUGGCCCUUUUAGGGUCCGAGUUGUAAUUUGCAGAGGGCGCUUUGGCGUUGGCAGCGGUCUAAGUUCUUUGGAACAGGACGUCACAGAGGGUGAGAAUCCCGUACGUGGUCGCUAGCCUUUGCCGUGUAAAGCCCCUUCGACGAGUCGAGUUGUUUGGGAAUGCAGCUCUAAAUGGGAGGUAAAUUUCUUCUAAAGCUAAAUACUGGCCAGAGACCGAUAGCGCACAAGUAGAGUGAUCGAAAGAUGAAAAGCACUUUGGAAAGAGAGUCAAAUAGCACGUGAAAUUGUUGAAAGGGAAGCGCUUGCAGCCAGACUUGCCUGUAGUUGCUUAUCCGGACUUUUGUCCGGUGCACUCUUCUGCGGGCAGGCCAGCAUCAGUUUGGGCGGUUGGAUAAAGGUCUCUGUCAUGUACCUCUCUUCGGGGAGGCCUUAUAGGGGAGACGUCAUGCAACCAGCCUGGACUGAGGUCCGCGCAUCUGCUAGGAUGCUGGCGUAAUGGCUGUAAGCGGCCCGUCUUGAAACACGGACCAAGGAGUCUAACAUCUAUGCGAGUGUUUGGGUGUCAAGCCCAUACGCGUAAUGAAAGUGAACGGAGGUGGGAACCCUUUGGGUGCACCAUCGACCGAUCCUGAUGUCUUCGGAUGGAUUUGAGUAAGAGCAUGGCUGUUGGGACCCGAAAGAUGGUGAACUAUGCUUGAAUAGGGUGAAGCCAGAGGAAACUCUGGUGGAGGCUCGCAGCGGUUCUGACGUGCAAAUCGAUCGUCAAAUUUGGGCAUAGGGGCGAAAGACUAAUCGAACUAUCUAGUAGCUGGUUCCUGCCGAAGUUUCCCUCAGGAUAGCAGUAACGUAUUCAGUUUUAUGAGGUAAAGCGAAUGAUUAGAGGCCUGGGGGUUGAAACAACCUUCACCUAUUCUCAAACUUUAAAUAUGUAAGAAGUCCUUGUUACUUGAUUGAACGUGGACACUUGAAUGUACCGUUACUAGUGGGCCAUUUUUGGUAAGCAGAACUGGCGAUGCGGGAUGAACCGAACGCGGGGUUAAGGUGCCAGAAUAUACGCUCAUCAGACACCACAAAAGGUGUUAGUUCAUCUAGACAGCAGGACGGUGGCCAUGGAAGUCGGAAUCCGCUAAGGAGUGUGUAACAACUCACCUGCCGAAUGAACUAGCCCUGAAAAUGGAUGGCGCUCAAGCGUAUUACCCAUACCCCGCCGCCGGGGCAGAAUUUAUGCCCCGGCGAGUAGGCAGGCGUGGAGGCUCGUGACGAAGCCUUGG
rnacentral:rRNA from 1 species